rnacentral:rRNA from 1 species
GAUGAACGCUGGCGGCGUGCCUAAUACAUGCAAGUCGAGCGAACGGACGAGAAGCUUGCUUCUCUGAUGUUAGCGGCGGACGGGUGAGUAACACGUGGAUAACCUACCUAUAAGACUGGGAUAACUUCGGGAAACCGGAGCUAAUACCGGAUAAUAUUUUGAACCGCAUGGUUCAAAAGUGAAAGACGGUCUUGCUGUCACUUAUAGAUGGAUCCGCGCUGCAUUAGCUAGUUGGUAAGGUAACGGCUUACCAAGGCAACGAUGCAUAGCCGACCUGAGAGAGGGAUCGGCCACACUGGAACUGAGACACGGUCCAGACUCCUACGGGAGGCAGCAGGAGGGAAUCUUCCGCAAGGGGCGAAAGCCUGACGGAGCAACGCCGCGUGAGUGAUGAAGGUCUUCGGAUCGUAAAACUCUGUUAUUAGGGAAGAACAUAUGUGUAAGUAACUGUGCACAUCUUGACGGUACCUAAGCAGAAAGCCACGGCUAACUACGU